rnacentral:snRNA from 1 species
AUCGCUUCUCGGCCUUUUGGCUAAGAAUCAAGUGUAGUAUCUGUUCUUAUCAGUUUUUAAUAUCUGAUACGUCCCUUAUCUGGGGACCAUAUAUUAAAUGGAUUUUUGGAACAGGGAGAUGGAAGAAGAGCUUGCUCUGUCCACUCCACGCAUCGACCUGGUAUUCAGUACCUCCAGGACCGGUGCAACCUCU